UAGGGAAUCUUCGGCAAUGGACGGAAGUCUGACCGAGCAACGCCGCGUGAGUGAAGAAGGUUUUCGGAUCGUAAAGCUCUGUUGUUAGAGAAGAACGUUGGUAGGAGUGGAAAAUCUACCAAGUGACGGUAACUAACCAGAAAGGGACGGCUAACUACGUGCCAGCAGCCGCGGUAAUACGUAGGUCCCGAGCGUUGUCCGGAUUUAUUGGGCGUAAAGCGAGCGCAGGCGGUUCUUUAAGUCUGAAGUUAAAGGCGGUGGCUUAACCAUUGUACGCUUUGGAAACUGGAGGACUUGAGGGCAGAAGGGGAGAGUGGAAUUCCAGGUGUAGCGGUGAAAUGCGUAGAUAUAUGGAGGAACACCGGUGGAGAAGGCGGCUCUCUGGGCUGUAACUGACGCUGAGGCUCGAAAGCGUGGGGAGCAAACAGG
rnacentral:rRNA from 1 species